rnacentral:ncRNA from 1 species
GUUCUGGGCCGCACGCGCGCUACACUGAUGUAUUCAACGAGUAUAUAGCCUUGGCCGACAGGCCCGGGUAAUCUUGGGAAAUUUCAUCGUGAUGGGGAUAGAUCAUUGCAAUUGUUGGGUGUCAACGAGGAAUGCCUAGUAAGCGCGAGUCAUCAGCUCGCGUUGACUACGUCCCUGCCCUUUGUACACACCGCCCGUCGCUCCUACCGAUUGAAUGGUCCGGUGAAGUGUUCGGAUCGCGGCGACGGGGGCGG